rnacentral:rRNA from 1 species
GGGCCCGCACAAGCGGUGGAGCAUGUGGUUUAAUUCGAUGAUACGCGAGGAACCUUACCAGGGCUUAAAUGUAGUCUGACAGGGGUGGAAACACCCCCUCCUUCGGGCAGAUUACAAGGUGCUGCAUGGUUGUCGUCAGCUCGUGCCGUGAGGUGUCAGGUUAAGUCCUAUAACGAGCGCAACCCCUGCCGUUAGUUGCCAGCAUGUAAUGAUGGGAACUCUAACGGGACUGCCGGUGCAAACCGCGAGGAAGGUGGGGAUGACGUCAAAUCAUCACGGCCCUUACGUCCUGGGCUACACACGUGCUACAAUGGCCGGUACAGAGGGCAGCCACACCGCAAGGUGGAGCGAAUCCUUAAAACCGGUCUCAGUUCGGAUCGGGGUCUGCAACUCGACUCCGUGAAGUCGGAAUCGCUAGUAAUCG